rnacentral:lncRNA from 1 species
GGGCUGAGGUUGGACUAGAUGAUCUUGAGGUCUCUUCCAACCUAGACGAUUCUGUGAUUCUGUGAAAAGAAAAAAAAAAAAAAGCCAAAGGUGAACAGCUUUAGUUUGUUUGUUUAAUUGUCAUGAGAUCUCAGGCUCCAUCUAGAAAACAAGCAAGACUCAGAAAGCAAACUAAAAGCUUUACAUUUUUUGUGGUAUGUUUAAGUAGCCUGGCCCAUAUUAUACACCCUUUCAUAUCCAUAAAACCCAGUUAAAGUCAAGAAAAACCAAUUAUAAUGCUGCAUAUCUGCAUGUGACUUCAGGUACUCACUGUAAGAAGAACACAGCAACCAUUGUGGACCAGGUUAACACUUGAAAGACUGAUCAGGGGCUGAGGAUUAUUUUUUUCUUGGCUUUUUUUCCCAACCUUCUCAUCACUAGCAGAACAAGGAGGAUAUUCAAUUCACUGGCUGAAUGCAGACUUUAAGGCUCUCCUUAUUGAAGGCUGAACAAGUCUUUCAAAUACAUCCUGGCUGGCCAAACACCGACUCGUACAUCCUAGAAUUAUCCACUAAUAAUAAGUCAUGUGGCGCAGGACGGUUUGAAGUCAAAUUGUGGACAGUACCACAGUACUGUAUAUCAUGUUAAUCUUUCUCAGCUCUUUAGGUCGAAAUUUCAAAAUACAUGUAAAAGGCAUGGUAAUAUGCAAGGCUUCAUAUUGCAUUCCUAUUUUUUCUGUUUCCUGUAUAGUCUUUCACAUAGCACUUAAUCUUGUCCUGUCUCAGUUUUCCAGUCUGAAACCAAAUACAUAAUACAAUUUCACUUCCCAGGACCAUUAUAGGAACGUACUAACUGUUGGUUAAACACGUUAAGAACUUUUUCAAAAGCAUCUAGGGGACUCAAAUAGCCAAAAUCAGCAACAGACUCACAUGUAAGUACAACAUAUCAUUUUUAACCACUUUUUUUUUCCUAUGUGGAGAUGCUGGAGACCAAGUUGUAUCACUACAACUUGCUGCUGAUUUUCAAGUAUGUGUCAGGAACUAAGACCUGCAAAAUCCAUUAAAAUUCAGAACGCCUGUGCUCCUUGACCCCAUUUAUGCCAUUUAAAAGGUUUCUGCUUGUGACUAGUAGCCCUUGCUCCUGACACCUGGUGAUACGGUUAGCAUAACUAAUGCCACUUUGUGAAGUAAGAAGACAUUACCCCUAAGCAAACUCAUAGGUUACCAGCCCACUUUUCCCCCUCCCCACCAGCCCUGAAGGUCCCAGGCAACAGGCCAACUCUUCCCCUCCCUACCAGUGGUGUGAAAAUCCCAAACUCACAUCCAACCACGCUGUGGUGACCUCCUCAAAGAACAGGGAAGUGUAACAGCCCACGGAGUGUGCCUAUAAAACCAAGCAGCAGCAAGCCCUAGGUGAGACAUGGAUGGGACCCGCUGCUGGACGGCAGGCCUGCGAUCCCCUGGUGCUCAGGGACACCUCCACUGUCAGCUGCAUCCUCCACAGACCAAGCGACUCACGUUCCUUCACAUCGAUUCUGAGUCUAGAUUAUGAUUAUUAGAUUGCACGUUAAGUGUUGAAAUCUGACCCAAUCUGCAGAGGGUACAGAUGAUUCAAACAAAUGCUAAAUAACCAUAAGCUGUGCUAAUUAUAAAUUUCCAUGUAAUAACAAAGGUCUAAAUAUAAACACAACCUUGUGGCAUCCUCAUUCUACCAAGGAUCACUAGUGAACCUGUCUGUCCCCAUAACGUUGGGUAACAUUCCUAUUCCACGUAUUAGCCACAAGCUUUGAUGACAAUCAUAACAUGUAAGUUAGAAGUACACACUUCUAAAGCUAGGUUAACAGUAGGACAGAAAACUCUGACAAAAUUACACACAGAAGCAUCAUUUAAUUGAAACACUGAGUUUUGUAGUUAUUAGUCAAUCACUUGCAGUGUGCACUCUGGCAAGCAAUGGGUGGUAGCCAAUUUUCCCUUAUGAAUCCAUGUAUCUACUUCUGUUCCAUACAAGUUUUCACCCUUUUCUAUACGUAACUCCUAUUGACAAAGUCAAACUAUCUGACUUCUCCAAAUCUCCACUUUACAGAUAGGAACUUGUAAAACAGAGACAAAGAUUUUGUACUAUAAAUGCUGGCAUUCUUCUAAUACACUCAAAACUCCCUUAAGAAAAGAGAUAAAAUGAGGCGUCAUUAGCCAUUAAUUUAUUUUCAUAUGCCUACUCAAAAGGCAUCAAACAAUAAUGUUACUGAAAGGAUCCCCUUCGCCAUAAUGAACUCAGAUUCAUACAAUGUCACUUAACCCAUGUCUUUUUAAAAUCAGAUAUGGUACUAAUAUGCAAUAUAAUAACAUGCCUGACUACUUAUAAUGCCCGCAAAUCCUAUUCUCAUGUGUGUUUUCUACUGACACCAUGCAAUCAAUUAUAUAAUUUAUAUAUACAUAUGUAUCUUUUUCUGCUUUUUAAUAAAAUUGAUAUAUCAGAGAAUAUUUCA